CCUACGGGGGGCAGCAGUGAGGAAUAUUGGUCAAUGGGCGAGAGCCUGAACCAGCCAAGUCGCGUGAGGGAGUACUGCCCUAUGGGUUGUAAACCUCUUUUGUCGGGGAGCAAAAGCCGGACGUGUCCGGCUGUGAGAGUACCCGAAGAAAAAGCAUCGGCUAACUCCGUGCCAGCAGCCGCGGUAAUACGGAGGAUGCGAGCGUUAUCCGGAUUUAUUGGGUUUAAAGGGUGCGCAGGCGGAAUGUCAAGUCAGCGGUAAAAUUUCGGGGCUCAACCCCGUCGUGCCGUUGAAACUGUUGAACUGGAGUACAGGAGAGGUAAGCGGAAUUCCGAGUGUAGCGGUGAAAGGCGGAGAUAUUAGGAGGAACACCAGUGGCGAAGGCGGCUUACUGGACUGUAACUGACGUUGAGGCUCGAAAGCGUGGGGAGCAAACAGGAUUAGAUACCCCUGUAGUC
rnacentral:rRNA from 1 species